CCCCGAUGAGGAAACCCCUCCGCGUCUGACCCCCCCCCGGCCACCAGGACCUGCCCAAGGUCGAACCCACUGGUGCUGGCGGGGGGAGGGGAGGAGGAUGCUGCGUCCCGAUGGACGGUCUGAGGGGG
ensembl:snoRNA SNORD22 Small nucleolar RNA SNORD22